UACGUAGGGUGCAAGCGUUGUCCGGAAUUAUUGGGCGUAAAGAGCUUGUAGGCGGUUUGUCGCGUCUGCUGUGAAAUUUCGGGGCUCAACCCCGAACUUGCAGUGGGUACGGGCAGACUAGAGUGUGGUAGGGGAGACUGGAAUUCCUGGUGGAGCGGUGAAAUGCGCAGAGAUCAGGAGGAACACCCGUAGCGAAGGCGGCACACUGGGCCGAUACUGACGCUGAGGAGCGAAAGCGUGGGGAGCGAACAGG
rnacentral:rRNA from 1 species